GCGAACGCUGGCGGCAGGCUUAACACAUGCAAGUCGAGCGGGCACUUUCGGGUGUCAGCGGCGGACGGGUGAGUAACGCGUGGGAACGUGCCUUCUGGUUCGGAAUAACCCUGGGAAACUAGGGCUAAUACCGGAUACGCCCUUAUGGGGAAAGGUUUACUGCCGGAAGAUCGGCCCGCGUCUGAUUAGCUAGUUGGUGGGGUAACGGCCUACCAAGGCGACGAUCAGUAGCUGGUCUGAGAGGAUGAUCAGCCACACUGGGACUGAGACACGGCCCAGACUCCUACGGGAGGCAGCAGUGGGGAAUAUUGGACAAUGGGCGCAAGCCUGAUCCAGCCAUGCCGCGUGAGUGAUGAAGGCCUUAGGGUUGUAAAGCUCUUUUAUACGGGACGAUAAUGACGGUACCGGAGGAAUAAGCCCCGGCUAACUUCGU
rnacentral:rRNA from 1 species